GCGUUGUCCGGAAUUAUUGGGCGUAAAGAGCUCGUAGGCGGUGUGUCGCGUCGGCCGUGAAAACCUGCAGCUUAACUGUGGGCUUGCGGUCGAUACGGGCAUCACUGGAGUUCGGCAGGGGAGACUGGAAUUCCUGGUGUAGCGGUGAAAUGCGCAGAUAUCAGGAGGAACACCGGUGGCGAAGGCGGGUCUCUGGACAGUUCCUGACACUGAGGCACGAAGGCCAGGGGAGCAAACGGG
rnacentral:rRNA from 1 species